rnacentral:rRNA from 1 species
UGACAGCCAGUAGCGUGCAGGAGACGGCCCUAUGGGUUGUAAACUGCUUUUAUACGAGAAUAAUUUGAUGCACGUGUGCGUUAUUGCAUGUAUCGUAUGAAUAAGGACCGGCUAAUUCCGUGCCAGCAGCCGCGGUAAUACGGAAGGUCCAGGCGUUAUCCGGAUUUAUUGGGUUUAAAGGGAGUGUAGGCGGUUUGUUAAGCGUGUUGUGAAAUUUAGGUGCUCAACAUUUAACUUGCAGCGCGAACUGUCAGACUUGAGUACACGCAACGUAUGCGGAAUUCAUGGUGUAGCGGUGAAAUGCUUAGAUAUCAUGAAGAACUCCGAUUGCGAAGGCAGCAUACGGGAGUGUAACUGACGCUUAAGCUCGAAGGUGCGGGUAUCGAACA